CAUUAACCUCAGAUCAGGCAAG
rnacentral:rRNA from 1 species